rnacentral:rRNA from 1 species
UACGUAGAGCGCAAGCGUUGUCCGGAAUUAUUGGGCGUAAAGAGCUCGUAGGCGGCUUGUCACGUCGGAUGUGAAAGCCCGGGGCUUAACUCCGGGUCUGCAUUCGAUACGGGCUAGCUAGAGUGUGGUAGGGGAGAUCGGAAUUCCUGGUGUAGCGGUGAAAUGCGCAGAUAUCAGGAGGAACACCGGUGGCGAAGGCGGAUCUCUGGGCCGAUACUGACGCUGAGGAGCGAAAGCGUGGGGAGCGAACAGG